GUCUAUGGUCAUACCACCCUGAAUAUGCCCAAUCUCGUCUGAUUUCAGAAGCUAAGCAGUAUCAGACCUGGUUAGUACUCAGAUAGGCAAUACCUAGGAAUAAACCUAACCAAAAAAU
rnacentral:rRNA from 1 species